AUUGAACGCUGGCGGCAUGCCUUACACAUGCAAGUCGAACGGCAGCACGGGUGCUUGCACCUGGUGGCGAGUGGCGAACGGGUGAGUAAUACAUCGGAACAUGUCCUGUAGUGGGGGAUAGCCCGGCGAAAGCCGGAUUAAUACCGCAUACGAUCCACGGAUGAAAGCGGGGGACCUUCGGGCCUCGCGCUAUAGGGUUGGCCGAUGGCUGAUUAGCUAGUUGGUGGGGUAAAGGCCUACCAAGGCGACGAUCAGUAGCUGGUCUGAGAGGACGACCAGCCACACUGGGACUGAGACACGGCCCAGACUCCUACGGGAGGCAGCAGUGGGGAAUUUUGGACAAUGGGCGAAAGCCUGAUCCAGCAAUGCCGCGUGUGUGAAGAAGGCCUUCGGGUUGUAAAGCACUUUUGUCCGGAAAGAAAUCCUUGGCCCUAAUACAGUCGGGGGAGGACGGUACCGGAAGAAUAAGCACCGGCUAACUACGU
rnacentral:rRNA from 1 species